AUUGAACGCUGGUGGAAUGCUUUACACAUGCAAGUCGAACGGCAGCACGGACUUCGGUCUGGUGGCGAGUGGCGAACGGGUGAGUAAUGUAUCGGAACGUGCCCAGUCGUGGGGGAUAACGUAGUGAAAAUUACGCUAAUACCGCAUACGAUCUAUGGAUGAACGCGGGGGAUCGCAAGACCUUGCCACAUUUGAGCGGCCCAUAUCAGAUUAGGUAGUUGGUGGGGUAAAGGCCCACCAAGCCAACGAUCUGUAGCUGGUCUGAGAGGACGACCAGACACACUGGAACUGAGACACGGUCCAGACUCCUACGGGAGGCAGCAGUGGGGAAUUUUGGACAAUGGGCGAAAGCCUGAUCCAGCCAUUCCGCGUGCAGGAUGAAGGCCCUCGGGUUGUAAACUGCUUUUGUACAGAACGAAAAGGUUUCUACUAAUACUAGGAGCUCAUGACGGUACUGUAAGAAUAAGCACCGGCUAACUACGUGCCAGCCGCCGCGGUAA
rnacentral:rRNA from 1 species